UCAUGGGGUGCAAACGUUGCUCGGAAUCAUUGGGCGUAAAGCGCGCGUAGGCGGUUACUUAAGUUGGAUGUGAAAGCCCUCGGCUUAACCGAGGAAGUGCAUCCAAAACUGAGUAGCUAGAGUACGAAAGAGGGUCGCGGAAUUCCCGGUGUAGAGGUGAAAUUCGUAGAUAUCGGGAGGAACACCGGUGGCGAAGGCGGCGACCUGGGUCGAGACUGACGCUGAGGCGCGAAAGCGUGGGGAGCAAACAGG
rnacentral:rRNA from 1 species